rnacentral:lncRNA from 1 species
ACAUUUGCUUUCUGGUUGCUCUCGUGAUUACUUUGCAGCUGUAUCUUGCCUCAGCCCAGGAAACCAGCGAUGUUCCAGACAGUUUCAAGAUCUUCGAAACCUUCCCAUUCGCUGUCGCCGUCUCUGACCAGGACAAUGACACGAUAUACGAAUGCCUGACCACGUGGAGAGCGUGGCUUGCGCCCGAAGAAAAGAAGGGGGAAUACAUUUGGUUUUUCGGAGGGCAUGGUGGGAUAUCGAAACGAACGGUUAGCUUCUACGUAUUCGAAGGAAAAAGCCCUGAUACAUUCCGAUUCACAGUGAACUCAGACGACGCAUCCUCUGAGGAGGCGAAGUUUUAUUACACCGACUACGAGAACUGCGCUAUCCUCGACAUCCCCUACGACGGACGCCAAUGCAUCUUGUGGACGGUAGAAACAGCCAAAGAUUCGGUGCCCCAAAAAUGCGUGGAUGAGUUCAUGAAGAAUUGUGGCGUCGGCGCCCCACUUUACAACGAUGACCUUUGCAGCGGUGAUGAAGUCGCCGAAUGGUGAUGAAGAAAAGAUCCGAGCUUAUUACCACCAGGCGGAGACGUAUAAAUCUUUGAUUUCACCUUCAAAACUUUCUUCGGAGGCAUAAAUGCAAUAUGUGGAAUAAAUCUUGAAAAGCA